ensembl:snRNA
GUAUUGUAUGAAAGGAGAGAAGGUUAACACUCCCCUUGACAAGGAUGGAAGAGGCCCUUGGGCCUUACCACACACAUAAGGUUAAGGCAUUGCCACCUACUUCUAUAUACUAUAUAUAUGUGUAUAUAUUCAUAUAUAUUU